GGGUCAGUAGGUUGGUCGUGCCACCGGUACGUACUGGUCUCACUGAUUCCUCCCUCCUGAAGAGCCGUAAUGCCAUUAAUUUGGUGUUGCGGGGAAACAGGACUGUUACUUUGAAAAAAUUAGAGUGUUUAAAGCAAGCUAACGCUUGAAUACAUUAGCAUGGAAUAAUGAAAUAGGACGAUCGAUCCUAUUUUGUUGGUUUCUAGGAUUGACGUA
rnacentral:rRNA from 1 species